rnacentral:rRNA from 1 species
UACGUAGGUGGCAAACGUUAUCCGGAUUUACUGGGCGUAAAGAAGGCGCGGGCGGCACCUUAAGUCGGGUGUGAAAUCUCCGGACUCAAUCCGGAUAGGCCAUCCGAUACUGGGGAGCUUGAGGGCAGCAGAGGGAGAUGGAAUUCCCGGUGUAGUGGUGAUAUGCGUAGAUAUCGGGAGGAACACCAGUGGCGAAGGCGGUCUCCUAGGCUGUUCCUGACGCUGAGGCCUGAAAGCGUGGGGAGCAAACCGG